rnacentral:rRNA from 1 species
AACGAACGCUGGCGGCAUGCCUAACACAUGCAAGUCGAACGAGACCUUCGGGUCUAGUGGCGCACGGGUGCGUAACGCGUGGGAACCUGCCCUUAGGUUCGGAAUAACUCCCCGAAAGGGGUGCUAAUACCGGAUAAUGUCUUCGGACCAAAGAUUUAUCGCCUUUGGAUGGGCCCGCGUUGGAUUAGCUAGUUGGUAGGGUAAAAGCCUACCAAGGCGACGCUCCAUAGCUGGUCUGAGAGGAUGAUCAGCCACACUGGGACUGAGACACGGCCCAGACUCCUACGGGAGGCAGCAGUGGGGAAUAUUGGACAAUGGGCGAAAGCCUGAUCCAGCAAUGCCGCGUGAGUGAUGAAGGCCUUAGGGUUGUAAAGCUCUUUUACCCGGGAUGAUAAUGACAGUACCGGGAGAAUAAGCUCCGGCUAACUCCGUG